rnacentral:lncRNA from 1 species
CAGGGCCACACCCACAGCAUAUGGAAGUUCCCAGGCUAGGGGUCGAAUCAGAGCUACAGCUGCCAGCCUCCGCCACAGCCACAGCAACACAGGAUCAGAGCAGCAUCUGCAACCUACACUACAACUCACGGCAACGCCGGAUCCUUAACCACCAAGUGAGGCAAGGGAUCAAAUCCACUUCCUCAUGGAUCCUAGUUGGGUUCGUUAACCACUGAGCCACCAAGGGAACUCCCACAUAUAUCUUUCUUAAUGAAAGUUUUCUUCUGAUACAUGCCCAUAUGGAUCAUAUGGUAGUCCUUCAUUUAGUUUUCUGAGGAACCACCACACUAUUUUCCUGCAGUCAUUCUUGAUUCUUCCCCUUUCAGUGACCCAUAUCAAAUUUAUCAGAUAUACCUUCCAAAUAUAUCCCAAACCCACCCACCUUUCUAUGCUCCACUGACACCCCCAAAGCCCGCUAGCAUCCUUUCUAACUAGGCAUCCUAUUACUACUCUUGCUCAAUUUUCUAUACAACAAUCAAAAUGAUCACCUUAAAUACACAUCAGAUGAUGUCACUUCCCUUUUCAAAACUCUGCAGUGAGUUCUAUGUGUUCCUAAUGCAAAUAAAAUAAAUCUCCACAAUCCUUAUCAGGACCUUCAAAACCCACGUUGAGCUGGCCCCCGCCUACCUCUUUAGCGUCUGCUCCUAUUGCUCCUACAAUGACCAGUUCCUGUCCCUGGCAAAAUGCCAAGCCCAGGGUCUUUGCCCUUCCUGUUGACUCUGGACCAGAUGUACUGCUCCUAGAUACUUGCAUGGAUGGACCCUUUUGGUUUUUUGUUUGUUUGGUUGGUUUUGGUUUUUCCCUUUUCUAGGGCCGCUCCUGCGGCCUAUGGAGGUCCCCAGGCUAGGGGUCUAAUCAGAGCUGUAGCCGCCGGCCUACGCCACAGCCACAGCAAUGCCGGAUCCAAGCUGAGUCUGCGACCUACACCACAGCUCACUGCAACGCCGGAUCCCCAACCCACUGAGCAAGGCCAUGGAUCGAACCUGCAACCCCAUGGUUCCUAGUUGGAUUCGUUAACCACUGCCGCAUGACGGGAACUCUGGAUGAAUCUUUUUGUAUCAUUGAGGCCUCAGCUCAACUGUUGUCUCUUCCUGGUGAAGCCAUCCCAGAUCUGCCCAUCUUGUCUUAGCCCCACAGUCACUUUCCGUCAUCACCCUGUACCUUCUCCUUGUCAGAAAUUACUUUGUUUCAUGAUGUGCUUCCUUGUAUGUUACCUGUUUUUCCUCUUUCAGAAUAUGAGCUCCAUGAGAUGAGGGGACUUUACCCUCAAGUCCAUUGCUCUAUCUCGUGGCUGAACAGUGUCUGGCAAUACAGACAAACCAUAAGCAUUUGUCGAAUGACUAAGUCAGAUUUAGUGUGAGGUGAACACAUACUGUUCAUGGUUUAUGGAGACAUACUAUUUAAAUCACACAAGGGCCUUUAAGAGUUUCCUUCUGGAAAGUGUAUUAAACACCAAAAUUGCCAACAAAAACAUAGAAAUAGGGCCAGCUCUAAAGAUUGGUCAGAGCUUGCAUGCUUUACCCAGCAUGUCAGGUGCUAAGUACACUUCAUAGAGUGAAUAAAUCAGACUUUGGAGUUCCCACCAUGGCGCAGCGGAAGCAAAUCCAACUAGGAACCAUGAGGUUUCAGGUUCGAUCCCUGGCCUUACUCAGUGGGUUAAGGAUCCGGUGUUGUCAUGAACUGUGGUGUAGGUUACAAACGCAGCUUGGAUCUGUCGUUGCUAUGGCUGUGGUGUAGGCCGGCAACUGUAGCUCCAAUUCGCCCCCUAGCCUGGAAAACUCCAUAUGCUGUGGUGUGGCCCUAAAAGGUGGGAAAAAACAAAACAAAACCAAAAAAAGCUACAGACUUUCUAGUAGCCCUUUUAAGCUAAUGGUUUCAAACUCUUUACUAAAUGUAUAACUAAAGCUAAUGUCAGGUAGGAAGAUGGCUUUAAACGUCCCCUCUCUCCUGUUCCACACCCACUGUUUAAAAAAUACUGAGUGUAUAAUACGUAUGUAGGAAAUAAUUGAGUGAAUAAAUGCACAAAUGAAUGAAACAGCCACUGGUUCAGUAAUAAAAAUAAAGAAGACAGUUAAGAACAUAGGCUAAUCCAAGUUGGAUAGACAACUUGUAAAAACUCAGCAACUAAGAAGUAGUUUGAUAGCAAAAAAACAAGUGUGCUGGUAACUGACAGCUAGAAUUGGGGGUCUAAGAACUGGCUUUAAGAGAAAAAGGUCAAGAAGCUAAGAUGAAUCAUGCAGGAAAACACUUACAGGAAGGAAAAGAAGAGAAAUUUAAAUUAGAUUCGUCAUUGCAACUUGAAAAAGAAGUGAGACUACAGGAAACUAUUUUAAAUACCAAGAAAAUGUUCCUAUAGCCAAAUGAAUCAAUAAUAAUAUAUUAAAAAAGCCCUAAGCUGUUGAAAUGUGAUGCUUUGGUAAAAAUGAAUCAACCAACCAAGAAACAUAAAUAAACAAAUAAAUAAGCCAUUCGGUAAUAUAUUGUUCAGAAGCAUCACUAUGGAGCUUAAAUAGAUUUCAUGAAUUCUUGCAAUUACCUAUAAGGACUUCAUAAUCAGCACUGUUUUCCCUUUAUCCCUUGAAAGCAUCUAGCUGUAUAAAAAUAAUAACAUCUUGCAGCUAGAAAAGACUUCUUAGUCUAAACCUUUCUAUCUACAAUACACCUUCAGGGAAAAAGAGGAAUUCUGAUACUUUGCAAAUGCUUGAAAUCCCCUAGAAUAUUCAGAUGGUAUAUUUAGGAUUUUAAAUUUGGAAACGAUUCUUAGGUUUUACUUUUUCACUCUCCUAAGCUUAUUCCACCCACAGUUAUUGAUUCAAUACAUGAAUUGAUUUUACAUGGUGAGGAAAAAAAAUAGAAAACAUCUUUAAAACCAAAGAAUAAUCUCAGUUAUCCAAUCCCUUUGAAGCCUAAUAUAUUUGGAAUCUCAAAAUGACU